UUCCUCUUCUUCUUUUCUUUUCUUCCUUCUCUUCUCUACUUCGACGCAAAAAAAAAAAAAAAUUCCAUCGACGGAGGAAUUUCCACCGGCGCUCCCCCUCAAUCCCAUCGUCUCUUUUUCCUCGUUGACGCAUCGCCGGUGGUCGUCGUCACUGCUGUCCAGCGUUGCUCGCUGGGAUCGCCGGAAGGUGCCGCUGCCGUCGCUGCUGCGGUUGCUGCUGGAGUCACCGAAGGUGCCGCUGUCGUCGCUGCUGCGGUUGCUGCUGGAGUCGCCGGCCGCCGCUGCUACGUUCGCCGGACUCCUCCAGCUCCGCCAGCGAACGUUCGCCGCCAAUAACGGGAUCCGGCGACGUCUCUGCUGAAGACCCCGUCGACGCUCGAAACAGCCCCGACGCACCCCGAAGUCUACCCGUACAACCCCGAUUAACUCCGAAAAGACCCACAAGGAAAUCAUAUAUGCAUAGCUACUACUAAAUCAUGCUUUGGGAUUGAAAAGAGAGUAUACCUCAAAAUGGUUGGACUUGGUGGUGGAUUGACAAGAAUGGUGGAAAUCUCCUCCUCUUGCUCUCUCUCGGCUCUCUCUUCGUCUCCCUCUCACUCUCUCUUUUUUUUUCUUUGUAUAUUGUAAUGUGAGGAAGAGAUUGAAGGGCUAAAGUAAUAAUUUGUGUGACUCUUGGGUGGGAGAAUUGAUGGUGGAAGAGGGAAGGUGAAGGAGUGGAAAUUGGAGGGUCUCUUGGUGAAGAACCGUCGACCAUGAAGGAAGGAAGAAGAAGAAGGAGAGUUUCUUGGCUUGCUCCCAUUUGUUUGGAGAGAUUUGGGCUUCUCAAUUAAUUAAAUGGUGUUGGGCUCAAUUUGUUGUAAGCCCAACUUCGAAAUAUUAUUACUUGGUUAGAUUUUUAAAUAGUUAGGGCCCAAGCCAUUUUUGUAGAUAGACAUUUGGACUCCAAUUUAAUUUGGAAAGCCCAAAUAUAAAUAUAUAUAUACAUACUU